rnacentral:lncRNA from 1 species
UGGAGUGUGUGUGCUUGUGUGUGUGUGUGCGUGUUUGUGUGUGGAAGGGACGGUUUGGUUCUCUGGCCAGAGGGACUGAUCUGGUUGAAAAGAGGCUCUGCUGAGAUGUUCUUCCGCAUUCCUCUCCUGACACCCGGAUACAUUCGAUACCUGCAGACUCAGGCAGCGCGGACUGGUCUGCAGACGGAGGGCCCUGUCGUACCCAGAUUUGCCAUGCUGUUGGGCCUUCUGGGUAUUGGGAUGUCAGGAUACAGCUCUCGACAGCUGACCCUACACUACAAACCAUCGCCACAUCUCCUGCGGUGAAACACAAAGAGAAAACGCACCCAUUUUGACUAAAGGUGCAACAUUUCUUCAACACAUUCCAACAACAUCAGUAUUACCAGGCAACCACAUCAUGCUGAAGUUUGUGGUCUUGCUUUGGUUGCGAGGAUGGCCGAUCUUCAACCAAGCCUUUCCAAACGUAUUCUCUGGCAACAAUUUGAUUUAAGUUUUAGAAUCUAGGUAAAAUGGGUCUUUCUACGUGCUAUCUCAAUGUACAAAUAUCUCAAAAUUUCACUUUGUGAAGUUUAUUCAUAAACAAAUUUUGAGAUGAUCACGUGCUUAUGAUUGUUUGCAGCUGUUCCAACUUUAGCUAAUGACUGAUUAUCCUAUCAGACGAUCCUUAACUCACUAUAAAUAACCAGACUUUUCUCAUCUCAAUAUCUUCGUCUCGAAGAAACCCCCCCCACCCAACCCUACUUUCCCACCUUUCAAACGGGCGUCACGGUGGCCAGCGAUUAGCGCUGUUGCCUCACAGCAAGAAUACCCCUGGUUUAAUUCCUUUUCAAACCAGACGACAUUUCUGUGCGGAGUUUGCUUGUUCUCCCCGUGGUCGCAAUAACUUCUUGCCAUUUACCCCGGUCUAUGAUAUUAUUACGAUACGAUACUUUUUAUGUGGACAUGGACAUUUUUGUACUUAAACAUUUAUUCAAAUUAAACAAAUAUCCAACAAAUUAAAUGAAUAGGUAACAGUUUACAACAUAUUCUAAUUAGUAAACAAUCAUUAAACCAUUAACUAACAUCAACGAUGAGAACUAGCUUUGUUACAGUAGUUACUAAACUAUGUUUAAACUACUAAAUAUGUCAAUAUUUUGAUGUAUUUCCAAUUGAAAUGGAAUAUUGAGUAGGGGGCAGGGCUUUAUUUUUUUGCGCUCCUCCUCUCAUGUUUUACCUGCAGCAAACAAAGGCCCCUGCACAUUAUACUGCCAGUUAAAUGCAACCCAGGCUCGUUCUGAAAACGUAGUCCCGUGGACGUUUCUAAAGACCGCGAAUUGUGACCCAAUUCUGAUUUCUUGCUCAAGAGACACAGAUCGGAUCUGUUCUUUGACCGUAUAAACACACACAAAAAAAACAUAUGCAUCCGGAUAUUCAGAGAUCGGUUUCAGGCCUCCUUCAUAUGUGAAAAAAAAUCAAAUAUAAAUCUGAUAUGUGACAGUGCGACUGCCAUGUAAACAGGCAGAUCGGAUUUAUCGAGGCAUUCCGUUUUGUACCUCAUUAAACUUGCGACUUGUGGUACUUCUCCAUGGUUUAAUGACGUAGAAGGUAGAGCAUGUGUGGAGACGCUUACACGAUAAACAACAACAGAGGAAACAUGGAGGAGGAAAGUGGUCAGUCGUCACAAUUUGCUCCCAUACUUCCUGAGAUCUCUCUCGUACUCACAAAUUCCUCUGAAUGGUGGAGAACAUGUAAACCAUAGGCGCAAGUUGCAAUGACGGCCAUUUCCCUCCUUCUCCACCUCAAAAUCAUUUUAAAGUUGGGUGAACAGUGCAUAUUUCGCUAGAAGCAAGACAAUUUCUUCCAUUGUGGCUAGUGUGGCGCAGAUGCUAGAACCUGCCUUUAUGCAUAUGCAGCAUCAUGAAUCGUAUGGCAAGUGUAAACACAUGAAUCAGAUAUGGGUCACAACUAAAAGAACGUGUAAACGGACAGACAAUAAAUCAGAUUUAAGCAACAAAUCGGAAUUGGGGAUCGAGACAUGAAUGGGGGCUAACUGAUGAAGGGGUGUGGCUCAGCAAAUUUCACCCAAGCUGCCAAACUGAGGUCAUCAGAGAAGAACUGCCAUUUCAAAUGCUCAGAUUUUGAUUAAAGAUUAGUAAAACAACUUAAUUCCUCCUGUGUAUUAACAUGAAUUAAUUGAUCACCUUAAGACCAGUGGUAGGGAAUCUAUGCAUUUUUCUCUGUUUCUUGUGUGUAGGCUCAGAAAUUUUACUUUUAUAGUGACGAAUAAGUUGUUUUCAUUGCCUUUAAUGCAAAAUUUUUAAUUAUAAACAUAGGAGACUGAGAAAAAUGCUCAUUUCAGUAGUUAACUCUUAAUAUAUACAGAUGUAUGUACACCCCCAAUGGCUCUUUAAAAAAAUGCAUUUGCCAAAAAAAUCAGAAAUGGCACUUUGCUGAAAAAAGGUUCCCGACCCCUGCCUUUAGACUAACAAUGUGUAGUAGCAAAUGAAACCUAUUUAAAACAUAAAAUAUUUGUAUUUCAUGGUGACGUUAAUAUAGCUUAAAAAUACAACUGACGUUUAUUAGUAAUUUGUUUGAUUAAAUGAAAUGGCUUUUAAUUUGAAUGAGUUAUUAAACAUUAAUUUAAGUAGUUAUCACUUUAGUUUAUUUUAAAAAUGUUAACAAAUGGAAACUCGUUGUAUAUUGUUAAUGCCUAUGAAUAAUGCUAAGCUUUUCAAAUCAAUAUCUCGGGUGUUUUGUAAGCCAUUUUAACAUAUGAAAAUGUUUAUUUAUUUAAAGGUCCCAUGAAGUACUUCGAAAUAUGCAUUUUUAUUCGAUGUUUGAUGUAAUCUCAACCAAAACACAAAGAAAGGGUGGGACAUAGGGUAGCUCCUCCCCCUUUUUAAAUGCAAAUGAGAAAUCUCUUGAAGGGGCAGGGCAUGUCAGUUACUAGAGAGCAUUUGAUUGGUUAUGAUUUGAGGUGACAAACCGUAAAUCCAUUUAGGCAGAAGUGACAAACUACAAGCUAUAAACUACAUGUUUGUAUCAGUUUAAUAUGUGGAUUUUGUCACUGUUUUGGAGCACACUAGCUUACAGAUAUCUUGAAAAUGAUACUAACACCUAAAUAUCUUUAUUUUAAUUUCAUGGGACCUUUAAAACAUAUUUUAAAUGUUUAUUUAUAAAAAUGUUAUUUGAAAAUAAGGUCUUGAAGAAUGAACAACACUCUGAAUACAACAAUAUAAAUAUACUUAAAUGCAACCUAAAAUAACUCUUCACUGUAUUUUUAAGUUGUUAAUGUUCAUUAUUAGGGUUUAUUGUAAUACUGAGUAAUGGGACAUGUUUAUUUUUGGGACAUAAUAUCGUGAAGCUUCUGAUUUUACCAAAAAUGCAUGUAAAUGUCCUUAAGAAACACAAGGCUGUAAACUGGGCAGAAUUAAGCAUUUAGCAUUAAUGCUUAAGUAUGACCGCAGCUUUUAUUGAUUUCUUUAAAGUCAAUUUAAGAGACAUAUUGCUGUAAUGAACAGAUUCGAUUUUAGCAGGUCACCUUCAUAACAGUGAGUCACCGUUUACAAGGCUUCAUCUUUAAAAUACACACUGAGCAUUUAAUAUCGCAUUUGUCCAAGGCAGGCAAUUUCUCUCUGGCUGUCUGGAAAUGAGUUAUUCUUUGUUAUAUAAACUGUAGGUCAAAGCAAGAUGUCCCAAUCUGAACUGAAAACAAUCAUCAAAUUAAAUUGACAAAGUAUUUUUAUAAUCAUAUUAGAAAGUAUAUAACCUUUGCGAAAAAUAAAAUGUGAAAAUGUAUGGGUGACGUAAUGGUUUAUCGGCAUUCAUUCAAAUUUAAACAGAUAUGUACUUUUUAAAAUAUAUAUAUAAGUAAGUAAUGGCACCCAAACUGUAUAUAUAUUUAAGAUGAGAUGCUUCUUGUUGACAAUGUUAUAUUGGCAAAGCACAAAAAUACAACAAUAUAAUAGUAUAUUAAAAACAAACAACUCAUAGAAAUUCAAAAAUACAACAAUGCCAUUAUUAUCCCUUAAAAUUGAUUCUAGUUCAUAAUUAUUAUCCCUGACAUAUAUCUAGUAAAUUAAUAAAAUAAUGUAUAUUGCAGAAAUGUUAUUUUAUUGAUUUACUAUUUCUGAGGAAAUGCAUAAAAGACCCUUUUUACAACUAUUAUACGUUCUAUGAAUUUAAUAUUUUGUAUCACUGCAUUUGUUUAUAAAAACACUUUGAGUUCCAAUGGAAAUAUACAGUUGAAGUCAGAAUUAUUAGCCCCCCCUGUUUAUCCCCCCCAUUUCUGUUUAACGUAGAGCAGAUUUUUAAAUACAUUUCUAAACAUAAUAGUUUUAAUAACUCAUUUCUAAUAACUGAUUAUUUUAUCUGUGCCAUCAUGAAAGUAAACAAUAUUUUACUAGAUCUUAUUAAAGACACUUCUAUACAGCUUAAAGUGACAUUUAAAGGCUUAACUAGGUUAAUUAGGUUAACUAGGCAGGUUAGGGGAAUUAGGCAAGUUAUUGUAAACCGACGGUUUGUUCUGUAGACUAUAAAUAUCUAUAUAGCUUAAAGAGGCUAAUAAUUUUGACCUUAAAAUUAUGUUUAAAAAAAGGAAAAACUGCUUUUAUUCUAGCUGAAAUAAAACAAAUAAGAUAUAUUAUCAGACAUACUGUGAGAAUUUCCUUUCCUUUUUUAAACAUAAUUUGGGAAAUAUUUAAAAAAAGAAAUUUAAGAGGGGCUAAUAAUUCUGACUUCAACUGUAUAUUUGAGUGUAUAAUUAUUUGCGUUAAUAUGUAUUUACUUUCUAUUGACUGUAAAGCAUGUAUUUAUACACUGUUUAGCUUUGAGAGCAGGACAGUGUUUCUUUUACUUGGGUGUUCAGAACUCAUCAUCUGGCUUUUUUUUACAGUUUGUGUUUGGCACUGUGGUUUGCCAGCCCCAGUGUCAUGCAGAACGUAGACAGAGACAGAGUUUAACCAGCUGAAAUGCCCAUGAAAGACUCUGACCUGUUAGAAACUCUCUCCUAUACUCUAAAAAGGAUUUUUGCUGCUUGUUCAAACAACGUAUUUAAUAUGAGCUGAAUUGACACGAUUCUUGAGUUUUUUGAAGGACAACUUAAUGUUUUUAUGUUCAACCUAUAUUUGUAAAAACAAUUAAGUCAACUUAACAUGAAGGAAUUGUGUGGAAGCCAGCAUUUUUUACUGUGUAGGCAUCUGAUGUAAAUGAUCUCUUAAGGCAAGACACUGCAGGUGAACAGGGUAAAAGUUUAUAUAAAAUGUAAUUAUUUACUUUCCCAACUCACAUUAAGAACUGCAAAAAAAUGUGCUAUGUGUUUUUUAUAAUGUUUUGCUUACAUAUGCAAAUGAGCUUCAUUAAGAAUGCACUGCUUUGCAGUCCAAACAUACUAGUGUUUUUAUACAGAGAUUUUCAUUCAUUCAUUAAUUUUCCUUCAGCUUUGUCCCUUUAUUCAUCAGGGGUAGCCACAGCGGAAUGAACCGCCAACUUAUCCAGCAAAUGUUUUACACAGCAAAAAACCUUUCAGCUGCAACGCAGUACUGGGAAACACCCAUACGCAUUCAUUCAUACUCAUACACUAUGGUCAAUUUAGUUUAUUCAAUUCACCUACAGCGCAUGUCUUUGGACUGUAAUCACCCGGAGGAAACCCACACCAACAUGGUUAGAACAUGCAAACUCCAUACUAAAAUGCCAACAGACCUAGCCGGGACUUGAACUAGCAACCUUCUGGCUGUGAGACGACAGUGCUAACCACAGAGCCACUGAGCUAGAGAUUUUGUGAAUCUUUUUGUCUCAUCAUAAUUCAGAAAAUCAUGUGAACAGCCAGACAAGAAAUAUUUACUGCUCAAAAAGGAAUACAUGGAGUCACAUUGUAUUGUUUCAUUUAUUUAUUUAUUAUUAAAUGUUUUAAAAUAAGCUUCUCCUGCUCACCCAAGUGGCAUUUAUUUAAUCAAAAAUAAAGUAAAAAUUGUAAAAUAGUGAAAUGUUAUUGCACAAUAAAAUAACUGCUAAAAAGUGGUUUAUAAUUUCAUUUAGUCAUUUAUUUCAUUGAUUUUAAUGAUGAAUUUUCAACUUCAUUACAUCAGUCUUCAGAGUCAUAUGAUUCUUCAGAAAUUACUCUAAUCCUAAUUAUUAUUAUUAUAAUUAUUAUUAUUAAUAAUAGUAAUAGUAAUGAAAUCAAUUAUGACUGGAGUAAUAAAUUCAUCUGCAUACAAUAAGAAAGCAGUUAUUUAAAAUUUUAAUAAAUAUUUAAAUAUUGCCGCCUUGAUGAACAGUUUCACACUAUUUUGUAGAAUGAAACAUAUGUAUUUAGGCAUAUUAUGUAUCCCUCUUUAAAAAAAAACAGAUACAUAUACAGAUAUAUGUAUACAUAUAUAACUAAAACUCUAACGUUUGGUGGAUAUACAAUUGGAAGAUUUUAUACCUUUCUAAAUAUUUUAUAAGCUCUGCUUAAUAAAGAGAAGGUUUUUUCGACAUUUUUAAAUUAUAAUAUGUAACAUGUAAUAUGUAAUAUAUAUAAUAUGUAAUAUGUAAUAUAUAUAUAUAUAUAUAUAUAUAUAUAUAUAUAUAUAUAUAUAUAUAUAUAUAUAUAUAUAUAUAUAUAUAAAAAACUCUAAAACUCUAAAACAUCACUUGAGAAUUCAAAUUUCACAGGAGGGAUAAUAAUUUUGCCUUCAACUGUAUGUCUUGCUGAAGUAAAGAUUCAUGGCUCAGUGCUAGAGAAAAGGAAAUUCAACUUGUUGAAACAGCCUUUAAAAUCGAUAUUUUUAAUUGAAAUCUAGAGACAUAAAUUCAUUUAUUUUGUGUUUUCUUUAUACCAAAUAAACACUUUAUGAGAAGCCAAAACGUUUCUCAGUACUGGCUUGCAGCUGGAAGGGCAUACAAUGCGUAAAACAUAUGCAGGAAUAGUUGGUGGUUCAUUCCACUGUGGCGACCCCUGAUAAAUAAAGGACGAAAGAAAAUGAAUAAAUGAAUGAGAAGCUAAAAAGACCAAAAUCUCAGGUGCCUGCAGUGUCUUGCCUUUAAAGAUUGGAGAAAUGAGUGAAACAAAAUGUAAAAAGUGUGUGUUUUGGCUUGCAUUGGCUCACAGUGAACGUCUCACAGACAGCGAAAUGUCAGUGUUUUUGAGAAUGGGCUUCAGUGCUGAGUCAUGUAAAGAUGUCAUGACGUCUCAGACAGACAUUCAGAAGAGGAGCUUAUGUUCUUAAAUCAGUCUAAUCUCUAAUCCAUUUACUGUUGGCUGAUAAUGUAAGGUCAAAGACUGUUAUUUAGAGAACAACAAACGCCAGCCACAUCACUUGGAGACGCCGAGCUGUCCUGAUUGAGAACAUUUUGAGGGACUCUGCACUUUGAUGACAGAAAUGAUUGUAUUUUUUUAAGCUCCUUUUGAACGAAGAAAGGGAAUAUCACAUCUUGUAAUAUAUGUGAAUUUGUAUAUUGUAUUUACAAAAUAAAAUAUUUAUGCACCAA